GACCUGCUGCGUUUGGGGGAGCUGUGCACUUUACUCCCGGUCUAGUAGGUACGGCACCGGGUAGCAGAGCAUGACCCGGGGGGCUUCAGGUACCAUGAGGUGGGGCGAGGGUAUCCGCCAGUGACAGGCCAGACCGCCACACCGGGAGGAGAGGGGCGGCAGCUCGCAGCCUGGCCCGGAUUUAUUGACGAAACCGGUGUUGUUGGGAUCUAUCAUGUACCGUGCGGUUCGGGAUGUGAGUGUGCCGGGGAUACCAAACCUCAAUUGUCUUUGCUGACAACUGGACGUGUUCGACUGUGGAUCAUAAGCUGCACCACACACUCACACUCAUACAGCCCAUAAACAUCACCUCACUGAGUACCCACGCCUUGUAGCACAGCAGCAGCACUCAAUACGCACGAAUUCCUUCACACUCAGUGCUCACAUAACGCACUCAAGUGUACAACCUGACCCUGCAGGAGAGAGAGUAUGGAGAGCUCACCUACAUAACGCAAGCAUAAGGCUGUAGCAUUGAAAGGACACUACAAUUCCUUUGGCAAUUACCUGUGAGCAACAUUGUGCUGUGCGUGACGAACAACGUGACAGAGUGCAUGAUUGACUGUCGGAAAACAAGGACUUGC